AUAACUAAGGCUGUGUUCGGUAACCAUUUUAAAAAUGGUUUUUUGUUUUUAAAAUUAAAAAUUUGAAAAUACAAAUAAAAAUUGUGUUUGAUAACUCUAUUUUAUUUUUUGUUUUUAAAAUUAAAAAACAGAAUAGAGUGAAUUUUAAAAACAGAUUUUGGAUGAUUUUAAAAAAUUUUAAAAACACUUUUAUCACUUGUGCUUCUCUCUCUCGUUUAUCACCACCUUCAGAGGAGUUUCCAUGGCUUCAUCUUCACCAUUACAGAUUUGAAAUGAAAAAAUGAGAAGAGCAUGACAAUAAAAGUAAUUUCCUAGAGAGAAAGAUUUUUUGGCUAGAACAGGUACGAUUUUCUCUUUUCUCUUGUAUUUUAUUUUGAUUUUAGGAUUUUUGUUUGAGAAAAUUUGUUCUUAGCUUUUAUUAGGUUUUUGGAUUUAAUCUUUCAAAUUAGUUUGGGAUUUGAUAUCUCAAUGCCGAGGCUGAUUUUGGAUUGCCAUUUUCUGGGUUUGAUGUUAUUUCUCUAGGUUCAAUGGGAUUUUGGGUUUGGGUUUUUUGGGCUGAGAAAAGUGGUUGUUGCUAUACUUAUUUAGGUUAUGUUAUUUGGAUUUCUAGCAUUUAGUUGUUAGUGGAAUGGCUUUCGAGCUUUGAUUAGUCUAUUUUAUUACCUUGUUUUCUUUUACGAUUUCGCAAUGUGUAGAAGAUUUUUCAUAUCUCAACAUAAGUGUUUGUGUUACUACAUAUAUUGUCUCAAGUUUUCUAUUUUGUUCCCAUGAAUUUAUAUUGCAGCAUAAUAUUAGAAACCUGAUACAUUCUCUAAUAUGGGGUAUAUGAUACUCAGUGGGAGAGAUAUAUACUCAGAGGGAGUAUCCUCAGGUGUUGUUGGUUUUACAAAAACUUAUUAUGAAAUUCUACUGGUCAAGAUUGAAAUUGAUUGAUUCUAGCCAUUAGAUACACUCUCUAAUAUGAAUCUAGCCCUUCAUUUGUUCCUCACUGUGUCAGGAAAAUAAUGACUGUGGCAGCUAGUGGGUGGUCCAUAUGUAUGUGUUCCUUCUUGACUGUUGUAAUAGAAUUUUAUAUAUACAAUGUGAUUUGAUUAUAGGCUCAACACCAUCAUGUCUUGUGUGUCAAAACAAGGAGAACAUUUUUGAUCAAACCGAUCAUUGUUUUGAUCAGAUUAUGAUAAAAAAAUAUUAAUAACUUUUAUUUGUAUAAUAUGUGAGUACAUAUAUAAAGCUAUAAUCCUUCUACUGAUGAAUCAAUAAAUAGCUUAUUCUUAUCCUUGUGGUAUAUAGAUUAUCAUUAGCUUUUCAUGGUUUUGGUGAGAGUCUCAGUGAGUUCACAUUACUAUUAGUUUCUCAUUCUUCCAAUAGCAUAGGAAAUGUAGUAAACUCCAUCUCUUUUUUUUUUACUUUAAAGCCAUCAGGAAGAGUAUCAUCUAUAUCUGCACCCAAUUCUUGAGGACCAUAAGGGAUGUCGUGUAUAUCACAAUUAGUAAAAUGAUUCUUAAAAACUAAUAUUCAUGUCUUGAAGUAAAAUUUAGUUGAUAUUAAUUAGUUUUGUUUUCUUUCUAUGUAUUUUAUCCAACUACAAGAUAAUGGCUUAUCUAAAACAGUAAAUAAUAUUUGUUAAAGAGCUUACUAUAGGGACUACACGGUAUAGCCUUAAGGUCUCAGUAAAUGCUACAUGAAGAUAAUGCAUUUGGACUAGAGCAGCAUCAAUUAUGUUCUCUAUGAAAUUAUUCACACUGUAUUUAAUAUUUUUAUUGACAAAUGAUUCUUAUAUUGAGAAAAUCAUUGUGCAUAUUUUUAUUUUGUUAGAGACAAGACAAUGAUUGUAAAUUUUUUUUCUUAAUUCUAUUGUUACUUUAUUGGAAUGGGAUUGGAUUAGUUUCUGCUUGAAUGUUAGUGAGCUUUAUAUAUUGAUAUCCAACACUUAUUGCCAACACUUUAUUAUGCUUCAUUAGUUUGCAUUAGUUUGUAACUUUUUAAAUUAAUUUUAUUGUUUUUAUAUAUAAGUUUUAGGAUUAGUUUUAUAAUUACUUGUAGAUUGAAUAGAUGGCAGGAACAAAUAGUGAGGUGGCUAUUAUUGAUAAUAGCGAAGCUUCUGUUUGGCCUGAAAAAUAUGAAGAAAUUUUUAUUGAACUUAUGGAAGAAGUUUUGAAGGGAAAUAGGAAUACUACAACCUUUACAAAGCAAUCGUGGAAGCGUAUAAAGAUGAAUGCAGAAAAAGAUGUAUAUUUAGAUGGAGAUGAAGACAUUCCCGAAAUACAAGAUACUACUAUACAAAGCACCCACUAAACUUUGAAUAAUAGUGUUGAGUUUAGCAUUUCAAGAGAUCAAAUUCGUGAAAUGGCUAAUGUCCGUGAUGAAAUUGCUGAUCAUAUAUGAAGAGCAAAUCGACGAUGAAGAUAAUGAGUGAAAUUUAUUAAUAAUUAAAACUUUUUAAAUAAUUUUUUUCAAGAUUGGAUAAUUAUUAGUUCAUAUUUUAUUAUGACUAUGUCAGUUUUGUAUUAUAAAUAAUGAGUUUCGUGAUUUCAAAUUACUUGAAUUUUUUUAAGA